CUAACAUAUUUUGUGUAUCCAAUGUUAUUGGUUGAUAAGGAAAUCUGGAAAUACCCUCAGUUUUAUCGCUUACAUACUUUCCAGUUUUGUAGGGAUUGUCCGUAUUUAUGAUAUUUGUGUUUGAAACUAUAAAACUUUUGUUUACAUUUUAAAAUUGUGCUGAAUAUUUGCAAAUCUAUCAAUAGGUUCAUGGGAAGAAGCCAUUUACAGGUUGCUUUCUGUUCUGUCGGCCCCAACAAGGAGUCAAGCGGAUAUUAAUUGAUCAAACGUUAAAGGUCCAUAAAAGAACGCUACCGACUAAGUUCGAUGAAGACUAUAAGAUUCUUUCACUGGGUGUAGGUGUAGAUGGAAAUAUCCGGCCUCGAGGGUAACUGUUUAGGCGGUAACGAGGCUCCCAGCCGAGUUACCGCCUAAACAGUUACCCGAGAGCCGGAUAUUUCCAUCUGCACCUAUAACCAGAGACAGAAUCUUUUUCUUGCAUGCCGAUUUCAAGAAAUAAUAAUAAAAAUAAAAUCAAUCAAACGGCUUUCUUUUCAGAACUAUUUCUUAUGGCAGUGUAUUAAAACAAAGCGCGGGAAACCAACGUGCGUAAACAGGAAAGACGUCAUGACGCUUCAAAACAAACAACAAUGUUUAGUUCCGGUUUGGUUUUAUCAGUUACAGCAUAACGUUAUGAAUUUUUGAUAAAAUAACGUGAUUUGAAUCGAGAAAUAUACUAUCAGGGACCAAUAGGAACUGUCAAGCCCAGACAACUCAUAACAAGAUCAAGUGAAACUAUUUAAACACGCAUGAGGAAGGCCUAUAAAAGGAUGCGACAGACAAGGUCCGAUGAUGUUAUAUCAAGCGGCUCGGUAGAAGAAGUCGUUAAACGGUUUUAACUACAUUGUAUGUUUAGCCCUGUCGGCCUCUAAAUAUGUCAUAGUUGAUCGGUCUGGAGUACGUUUUUAAUCCCUCCGCCUGCAAAAGGCAGACAAAAUAACAGUUAGAGACAUUAGAAAUGACACCGAAAUUUACACCGUGUCAGUGACUUCAUUUGAUGUACACCGUCGUAAGAAUACAUUUGUGGAUGCCUUAAAACUGUAUUUUUGUACUUGCAACAUGUAUAAGUGGCAUGGACGGCUCCUUGUAUUUUCAUUAACUGUCUAUGAACAGGCUUAACCAAAUCGAGCUUGCAACAUGUUCCUUUAUGUCGUGUUGUGAAACCUGUGCUUUUCUACCUUUUGGGUCUUCACAAUUUCAAAGAACUGCUUCCUAGGAAACAACAACCCGAGAGAUCUUAAAUACAGAGAUGACACUGUAUAAGUUUGUAUGUGGAAUUUUACGUCGCACCGACACAAUUUUAGGUCAUACAGCGACUUUACAGCUUUGGAGAAAGACAACAGGUGCCCUUCCGUGCAUUAUUUCAUCACGGGUGGUCACCUUGGUAGAACCACCAACCUUCCGUAUACCGGCUAGAUGGCUUCCUCACAUGAAGAAUUCGACGGCCUGACUGAGGCUGUGGUAAGUGAUUUGAAGUCAACGACCUUAACCACUCGGCAACGGCCCCCAACACUGUAUAAGCUUACUAUAGUACAUAUAUACGAUUGUAACAAAAUUAUUAGAUUAUUCUUAUAAUUUUGUUGUUUUUAUUUUAAAUGCGCAGAAAGCAUUCAGAUGUAUGACCCACAGUUGUCAACUGUCAUGUUUACUAAUUAAAGGACCAUAAAAGACAUGUUAUCAUAUAUUUUGACAGGCGGGAGAAAGAAAAGAUAAACAAAUUAAUUAAAAAGCCGAGAAAAAUGCUCGGAAUGCUGAUUCACUAGUAAGGUGUCUUUUAUGGUCACAGAAGGUCAGUUAUAUAAAAUAAUUUCUAAUAAUAGUAACUUUAGACAGGAUGAUUGACAUGUUUUGUAUAUAUGUAUUAAUUAUGAUAAAAUUAGCUCGUAAUGAGGAGCUGGCCAAAUAGUAUAUAAGGCCAGUGACUUAGCGUUACAAGAAGGAGUUUUCGAUCGGACGUUGAGCCGGUGACAUGGCUCUUCGGAGCAGUCAUGAGAGUGGUCCGUCGCACGGAAGAUGUUUAUGUUAAAAUUGUUAUAUUGAACAUGGUUAAUCUUUGUCGUAAAUGUUGAAGAAAUAAAUAGAAAACAUAUGCAAUAAAAUUAUAGAAACUAUA